GUCGUAGCUCAGUGGUUAGAGCACCCACUUUGCAUGCAGAAGGUCCUAGGUUCAAUCCCUGGCAUCUCCG